rnacentral:rRNA from 1 species
CACAAACAGUUUUUUCCAUGGUUUAAUUCAGUUCAAGUUGAGAAAUGUUGGGUUAAGUCCGGUAACGAGGGCAACCCUUGUCCCUAUUUGCCAGAGAUUCGGUCGGGAACUCUAGGGAGAGAGCCGGGGACAAACCGGAGGAAGGUGGGGACGACGUCAAGUCAUCAUGGCCCUUACGGGUAGGGCUACACACGUGCUACAAUGGCCGGUACAAUGGGUUGCAAAGCGGCGACGUGGAGCUAAUCUCAUAAAGCCGGUCUCAGUCCGGAUCGGAGUCUGCAACUCGACUCCGUGAAGUCGGAAUCGCUAGUAAUCGUGCAUCAGAAUGGCACGGUGAAUACGUUCCCGGGCCUUGUACACACCGCCCGUCACACCAUGGGAGUGGACUGCACCAGAAGUGGUUAGCCUAA